UUUUUGGAAUCCAUGUGGAUAAAGUUAGUUGUUCACAUAUACACUAUUCAUAAGAAUUUUGUUAGGCUAAAGAGAGAUACAUAAUAAAAUUUUAGGCGGAGAAUAACAUUUAUAUUUUUUUUUUGUUUUUGAUAUUGACAAUGGUGAAAAAAUACUAUAUCCAUAUAAAAUUGUCUAUUUGUUCAAAUAUUUUUUUUGAUAUCGUGUACUAUAUAUAUUUUGAAAAUUUUUAAAACUUGUCAGUAAAGUUGAUUUCAAC
rnacentral:lncRNA from 1 species